rnacentral:rRNA from 1 species
AUAAGAUAUCAAGGGCAACAGGUGAAUGCCUUGGCGCUGAGAGGCGAUGAAAGACGCGGUAAGCUGCGAUAAGCAUCGGGGAGGAGCUAAACAUCCUACGAUCCGAUGAUUUCUGAAUGGGGAAACCCGAUGGGAGUCAUGUCCCAUCAUCCUGAGCUGAAUAUAUAGGCCCAGAGAAGCCAACCCGGGGAAGUGAAACAUCUCAGUACCCGGAGGAAGAGAAAUCAAACGAGACUCCCAAAGUAGCGGCGAGCGAAAUGGGAAGAGCCCAAACCGGGUGGUUUCGACCAUUCGGGGUUGUAGGGCCGGCAUACGCGAUUCUGGAGUAGGCAGAGGAAGUGAGCUGGAAAGCUCCGCCACAGCGGGUGAUAGCCCCGUACUCGAAACCGAAAAGGACGCAGCCGGUACCUGAGUACUGCGAGGCACGUGGAACCUCGUGGGAAUCUAGGGGGACCAUCCUCUAAGGCUAAGUACUCCUCAGCGACCGAUAGUGAACUAGUACCGUGAGGGAAAGGUGAAAAGAACCCCUGUUAGGGGAGUGAAAUAGAAUCUGAAACCUGUUGCCUACAAGCUGCGAGAGCUGCUUCGGCAGUGAUCGCGUGCCUUUUGUAUAAUGAGUCAGCGAGUUACUCUACCGUGCGAGGUUAAGCGAAAGCGUAGCCGUAGUGAAAGCGAGGCUUAAUAAGCCGACUAGUACGUUGGAGUAGACCCGAAACCGGGUGAUCUAUCCAUGAGCAGGUUGAAGCAAGGGUAAAGCCUUGUGGAGGACCGAACCGUCAACGGCUGAAAACGUUCCGGAUGACUUGUGGAUAGGGGUGAAAGGCCAAUCAAACCCGGUGAUAGCUGGUUCUCCCCGAAAUAUAUUGAGGUAUAGCCUCGGGAAUUGAUUAGCGGAGGUAAAGCACUGACAGAGCUAGGGGUCCUACCAGAUUACCAAACUCUAUCAAACUCAGAAUGCCGCUUAAUUGUAUCCCGGGAGUCAGACGGCGGGUGCGAAGGUUCGUCGUCAAAAGGGAAACAGCCCAGACCAACAGCUAAGGUCUCCAAAUCCAUGCUCAGUGGUGAAGGUAGUGGAACCGUUUAGACAGCCAGGACGUUGGCUUAGAAGCAGCCAUCAUUUAAAGAAAGCGUAAUAGCUCACUGGUCUAAUGGCUCUGCGCCGAAAAUGUAACGGGGCUAAGCAUGGUACCGAAGCUUUGGCAAUCUCCUUUGGAGAUUGGGUAGGGGAGCGUUCGCUGCGGGCUGAAGGUGUGCCGGAAGGCAUGCUGGACUGCAGUGAAGUGAUUAUGCUGACAUGAGUAACGAUAAAAUAUGUGAAAAACAUAUUCGCCGAAAACCCGAGGUUUCCUGGGUAAAGGUAAUCUUCCCAGGGUUAGUCGGAUCCUAAGGUGAGGGUGAAAGCCGUAACCGAUGGAAAACAGGUUAAUAUUCCUGUACUUGUUGUGUAGCGCGAUGGAGGGACGCAGGAAGAUAGGCGGGCCGGGUGUUGGAUAUCCCGGUGCAAGCGUGUAGGAAUAUCCGGUAGGCAAAUCCGCCGGACGAAUCUGAGACGCGAGUCCGUGGGCGCAAGCCCUGAAGCCGUUGAGUCUAUGCUGCCUAGAAAAGCUCCUAAGUUUAUCCACAGCAAUCCGUACCGCAAACCAACUCAGGUGGGUGGGAUGAACAAUCCAAGGCGCUCGAGAGAACUCUGGCCAAGGAACUCGGCAAAAUAACCCCGUAACUUCGGAAGAAGGGGUGCUCUCUAGGGUGACAUGUUUAACAUAUGAAGCCCCGGGGAGCCGCAGUGAAUUGGUGGUGGCGACUGUUUACUAAAAACAUAGGUCUGUGCGAAGUCCUAAAGACGACGUAUACGGACUGACGCCUGCCCGGUGCUGGAAGGUUAAAAGGAGGGGUCAGCGCAAGCAAAGCUCCGAAUUGAAGCCCCAGUAAACGGCGGCCGUAACUAUAACGGUCCUAAGGUAGCGAAAUUCCUUGUCGGGUA